rnacentral:tRNA from 1 species
GCAGAUUUAGGUUAAAUUUUAAACUUUUAGUCUUCAAAACUGACGAUUUAAUCUGUA